rnacentral:lncRNA from 1 species
AAAAAAUAUAAAUUCCUUUAUUAAUAAAAUCAUGCCAAUAGUAAAUUGGGUAGCAAGUUAUUUACAGCAAUAAACCAAUUGUAGUGGCCUGGGAUCUUUCUUUCAGCACAGAAAAAUGCGACUGGCAAAGCUCAAAGGAUCCGUCUGAGCAAUGAAGAAAGGUUAUUUGGUUUCAAAAUCUUGAAACUUGGGUCCUGGCUCUACUGAAAUCAUUGAAGUCUGCGUCUCACUUAGACAGGUUUGUGUUUCCUAGUCCUGCAGGCGGGGUGAGGAUGGUCUCUGCUCACAAAGAGGUGCUGGUGACUGGAUGGAAUGAAUCACUGCAAUUCAACCCCUACCCACUGAAAUACAGCAGCACACGCUGAAGUGUAAGUACAUGAGUAAAACUGAGCACAGGGGCUUCAAGUUCUGCUGCUAAAUGGGGUAUCAUCUUACCUGGUUUUUGGGGGUGAAAAAAAAA